GAUGAACGCUGGCGGCGUGCUUAACACAUGCAAGUCGAACGGAAAGGCUCCUGCUUGCUGGGGUACUCGAGUGGCGAACGGGUGAGUAACACGUGGGUGAUCUGCCCUGCACUUCGGGAUAAGCCUGGGAAACUGGGUCUAAUACCGGAUAGGACGAUGGUUUGGAUGCCAUUGUGGAAAGUUUUUCGGUGUGGGAUGAGCUCGCGGCCUAUCAGCUUGUUGGUGGGGUAAUGGCCUACCAAGGCGUCGACGGGUAGCCGGCCUGAGAGGGUGUACGGCCACAUUGGGACUGAGAUACGGAGCAGACGCCUACGGGAGGCAGCAGUGGGGAAUAUUGCACAAUGGGCGCAAGCCGGAUGCAGAGACGCCGCGUGGGGGAUGACGGCCUUCGGGUUGUAAACUGCUUUCGCUAGGGACGAAGCGCAAGUGACGGUACCUGGAGAAGAAGCACCGGCUAACUACGUG
rnacentral:rRNA from 1 species